GACAGAGGGUGCAAACGUUGUUCGGAAUUACUGGGCGUAAAGCGAGUGUAGGCGGUCUCCUAAGUCGGGUGUGAAAGCCCCGGGCUCAACCCGGGAAGUGCACUCGAAACUGGGAGGCUAGAGUAUCGGAGAGGUUGGUGGAAUUCUCGGUGUAGAGGUGAAAUUCGUAGAUAUCGAGAGGAACACCGGUGGCGAAGGCGGCCAACUGGACGAAUACUGACGCUGAGACUCGAAAGCGUGGGGAGCAAACAGGAUUAGAACCUAC
rnacentral:rRNA from 1 species